GUCAGUGACGGUGGGAGGGGUUAACCCUUUCACAGCCGGGGGUGCUGGUGGGCACAGGGGCCCUGCCUGUGGAGACCUCAGGGCCCACAUGCCCCAUGGGAGCCACUGCCCUGGACUCCUUCCUUAGCCUCAGUCAUUAGUGGUGGGCCCGGAGGGAUGGUGCGUGGCCCUGAGCAGUGAUUUUCGAGCCUUUUUGCCCCACCAGUGAUAACCUGUAGUCUCCCCUAAUCAAGUCUUCACCCUUCUGUUGGUUGGACGGCCGUGGAAACCGCUGCUCGCUUUCCAGAUAUUUUCAUCCGGGUCUCCCAGUUGACUUACUUUCCCACCUUCCAGGGGAGGAGGUCCUGAUGGAGUCCUGGCUCACUUAGAUCAUUAGCGAGAGUUUGGAACAACCACUGGGGUCUUGGGGAACGUCGCAGGGUCCAGCAAGGGCCUGGCGUUGGGGAAUGGCCCCUGGAACCUGCUCUGAGGUUCCAGAUCCUGGUCUUCUGGGCACAGGCCUGGUUUUCUGGGCACAGAGGCGGCACAUCUGCAUUGAAGCCGCUGUGUGGAGACGCGUUUAGCCAAAUAUCAGCCAAUCAUGAUCAGCCUUUGGGGGCCUGGGUGGAGCCACCGUAUACCACGAAAGCCUUGGCUUGUUGCAAGUUUGCUCUAACUUUGUACAUUUUUUCCUUUUUAGUUUUGGCUCUUGGUGCUCAGAGAGCCACCACUUCCUGCCCAGCUGGUUCAUUACCGCAGGGAAAAUGAGGGACUUUUGGGGGCAGAUGUGUUUCCAUUCCACUAUCAUAAUGCCCCUAAAAAUCCUUAUUGCUCUUGCAGUAUUCCUCGGGGGUCCCUGGGCUGGCCCCGGACGGCUGGGAAGACGGCAGGUCUGAGUUCCUCCAGCAACUAAAGGAAGAGAGGACAUGCCCUCCCCACCCCCACCCCAUUCCCUCCGCUGGUCCCUGACAGAUCUCCCCUCAUGGUGCUCAGAUGGUUACCACCAUCCACAGAUACGGGUGGCUACACAUGCUGUCUGCCCUGCAGGCACAGGACGUUGGAGAUCAGGCCUGGGAAGAAAUGGGGUGGCUAUGGCUACUGUCUGCGUUUGCGUGGGGUUCCUGGGGGGAGGUGGGGAAAGUGGGAAAGAAACAGGUGCUACCUGUUGGACAAGGUGAAUUUCACACUCUGCCUGGUGCCUUCCAGCCGGGCCUCCGGGAUCCUUGCCUUGGCAAGGGCCCUGGGCAGUGCUGGCCUGCUCGCCUGCAACCUGAGACAGACCACUGUCCCACUCGCUGCCUCGGUUUCCCUAUCGGCCAAAGGAGGGGCAACAGCCCCUGCUCUGGUCCCAAAGCGUUCUUGGUUGUUCCCAACGUUACAAUGAGUUCAAGUUGGUAUACCAGCUGCGAAGGCGCUUUGGAAAUGGGGCCGUUAAAGCAUCCAGCGUGGAAGGUAUUAGUGCUAGCAUUUAGUUAUUGACACGUGCCAAAUAUGCCAAGGCAACUCACGGGAGGGGAGACUGCAGCCCACAGAAGCUCUGGUUUCUGGAAGCAGCCACCCCCAGCUCUGUGUCACCCCAGGCAAGUGACUCAAUUUCUCUGAGCCCCCAUUUCUCAUAUACGAGGAAUAGAAGCUUUUAGGAAUAGAAGCUUCCCAAGUCUGAUGUGGCACCUGGCUAAAUCAUUCUAACAGGAGGCAAUGCGGCUGCCCCCGCAGGCUGAGCGCACUGGUAAGAUGGUGAGUCCUUCCUCCUCGCUAAGCACUUCCCAUGCCUGGUCUCACGGAAUGGCCACAGCCAACCCGCAGCUGGGCCUGUUCAGAUGAGGAAACUGAGGCGCAGGCAGGUGAAGAAAUGUGCCCAGUGGUACCCAGCUGGAAAGGCCUUUGACCCCGGGUGCAGGGCCGGCAUCAGGGUUAGGGGCCCUGCACUUGCUUGAAUGCUCUGCUGUUGUCAUCUUGAAAUUCUUAAUAAUUUUGGAACCAGGUGCUCCGGGUUUUCGUUUGGCAAAUUAUGGAGCCAGUCUUGCCCGGAUCUGACUUACUCCAAAUCUGCCACUCUUAACUCCCACCAUCAGGCAGCCAGGCCCAGAGUCGUUUUUUCAGAUCAUCAAUACAGUGUUUAGUGUGGGACUGAAAUUCUGGGGAGAAAAUGAUGAUUUAUUAUGGGGCCGAAUUAUCCAAGUAUGUAUUUGUUUGUCUGUUGCCCCUAUUAGAACACGGGCAGGGACGUUGCCAAGGUCAAGAACCCCAACUCAUUCAUUGUUAUAUCCUCAGGGCCUAGCAUGUAUUAGCUGCUCAGUUAAUAGAUGUGACACAAUCAAUGAAUGGGAGGUUGACCAAUCUCCGGAACCAAACCUAUUUAAAGGACACCUUCCAGGAAAGCAGGUUGUUGGGGUGGUCCCUGGCCACCUCAGCAGGCUUCUGGACAGCCCCUGAAGGAUGUGGAGACACAGGUUUCUUUCCUCUCCCCGACCCAACAUGAGUGGUUAAAGGCAUGUGGUCCUGGACUCCUGGGCAUCUGUUAUUGGGGGAAGUGCAGUGUUCAGCUGAAAGAAUACUCAGGUUUCUGUUCUGGGCAGGUUCAAGUCCCAGCCAGGGGUCAGGGAGCACAAUUUCCUGAACAGCUUAUUGAAAGGGGUUGAAUUUUUGGAUUAAAUGUCCUUUUUCCUCUGAAAUUCGAGUUCUUACCGUCUCAAAGCUCCAAAUUAUAAAUAUUACUGAGAAGCAAAGAAUCAUUUCAAAAGCCUUUAAGAGAUUUAUAACAAUAAUAAACAUGCAGACGUGUUUUGUUUUGUUUUUGCCAACGAUUUGCAUAGGCAUUGUCUCCAUUGCUUCAGCUAACCUUGUGAAGCAGGAGUUACUGUCCUCAUUUCCUAACCGUUACAAUCGCCAGCAUAUAUUGAGUACCAGGCACUUUAUACGUAUCAAGUCAUGUUAGUUGCACAAGCAACGUAUAAAGGAGGCACUGUUAUUAUUAUCUCUGGCUUUCUGAUGAGAAACACGCUUGGAGAGAGGAACUGACACGUCCGAGGUCACACAUCCAGCAUGUGGUGGGCUGGGCUUCAAGCCCACAUCUUCCAUCCCAGGGGCCAGCAGCUAAGUAUUUUAGGCUCUGCAGGCCACAUGGUCUCUGUCCAGCUAUUCCACUCUGCCACUGUAACAAGAAACCAGCCAUAGAUAAACAUAUGUAAAGGAACAGAUGGGUCGGUGUGUUCCCAUAAAACUUUAUUUACAAAAUACAGGAAGUGGGCCACAUUUCGCCCACAGACUAUAGUUUGCCCACCACGUUCCAGAUCCAAAAACCUGCCUUUCUGUUAGGAAGAACCUGGCCCUGGCAACAUUCUUUGCCAGCCCCUCUCCCCACCUGUGAGGUGACUAAGUUACAUUUCAGAACAAAGACCACUGGCUCUGGAGCGUUCCAGUAGGCCUCCCCUUCCUUGAAGGAAUUAGGGGGCUCUUGGAAUUCACCACUGCUUAGACCUGUGGUCGGCAAACUGCGGCUCGCGAGCCACAUGCGGCUUUUUGGCCCCUUGAGUGUGGCUCUUCCUAAGCCUUAGGAGUACCCUAAUUAAGUUAAUAACAAUGUACCUACCUAUAUAGUUUAAGUUUAAAAAAUUUGGCUCUCAAAAGAAAUUUCAAUCGUUGUACUGUUGAUAUUUGGCUCUGUUGACUAAUGAGUUUGCUGACCACUGGCUUAGACUUUACUAGUGACUGCUAUGAUGGAAUACCUUGGGGAUUUUAAAUUGUAAUUUUAUUAUCUGUCAACUCUGAAAGGGGAAAGUGUUGUAGUGAAAGGAAAACCCUCAGUAGGGCACUUUGGCUGUGGAACAGUCACCUCUUCAGAGAAGGAAAAAUAUCUUAAGACACAAAAAAGGUAACCGCAAGUGGAUGGCAAUUGGGUAUGUGGGGGGCAAUUUCCCCAACAGGCCAGAGGCUGGAGCUUAAGGAUUCCUGUCAAGAGGAUGGGGGAGGGCAUGAUUUUUAAAAACAGUUUUAUUGAGAUGUGGUUCAUGAACCAUACAGCUCAUCCAUUGAAAUUAUAUAAUCCAGUGCCUUGGAGUAUAUUCAGAUGUAGGCACCGUUCAUGGCAAUCAAUUUUAGAACAUUUUUAUCACCUCAAAGAGGAACUCCGUACCCUUUGGCAUUGCCCUCACCCCUGAACCUCCAAUGCACCCCACCCCCACCCUAAGCAAGCACUGAUCUAUUUUCUGUCUCUGUGGAUUUGAUACUUCAUGCAAAUGGAAUCAUAAGUAUGUGAUCCUUUGAGACUGGCUGCUUUCACUUAGCACAGUGCUCUCAAGGUUCACCCAUGCAACAGUACAUAUGAGAACGGCAUUCCUUUUAACAGCCACGUUUUUAUUUAUCCAUUUGUCAGUUGGUAGACAUGUCCAUUGUUUUCACUUUGGGGCUUUGCUGAAUUACGCAGCUGUGAACAUUGCUGUGUAACUUUUCGUGUGGACAUCCGUUUUCAUUUCUCUUGGGCCUAUACCUAGGAGUGGAAUUGCAAGGUCAUAGGGUAACUCCACGUUUAACUUUCUGAGGAACUGUCAGAGGCACGUCUUAUAUUGCUUUUUCCAAUUUUGUAUUCUGGAAAUUUCCUGUUACUGGAAACAGAGAAAAACACUGUGACAAGCACCCCAUACUCAUCAUCCAGGUUCAACAAUUAUCAACCUUCCGUCAGUCUUGAUUCUUCAGCCUGUCCUUCUCCCCUUUGUUUCCCGCUAAGGAGUUGGAAGCCAGUUUAAACACCUCACUUUAUGUUGUUAACUUGGCUGAAAUGUCUUUUGCCUCAAACCCUCCGUUCGGGUCUCCUACACCCACAUCCUUGUGUGGAUGGAAUUUGGGGAGAACGGAGGCAUCAAAAGCAGUCUCCAGUGGAUCCGUGUAGGGUGGAAAAGGAAUAGCUUCUGAGUGAAACAGGACUGGUGACAUCAUUUGCAAAAUGAAAAUGUGGAGCCCUUUAUUCAAAAACUAAUAAUGUGUUUAAAAUGACAAGAGCAGAGCAUAAAACCAAACGCUGGCCCCGUGCAACUGUUCAGGCCACAUGCCCCUGAGACCAGCAAAAGGCUGCCCAAGCAGAACUGAUUCAUUGGACACAGGAAUUUAAAGCCUUUGGUGCCUGGGAGAGACAUACGUACCCGUCACCCCCAAUCCCUGGAAAAGUUCCAAGGAAAGUUGGGUCUCCCCUGGUAUGUGGGACAGGGUUCAAACCUAUUGAGUCUCCAAAAAAUUAGAUGACCCCAGCUGACAUGUGGGUUAUAAGUACUUUAAAAAAAUAGCCACUUGUCUUAAGCCUUCUUCCCUAAGAGCCCACAGUUGUCUGACUUGGCCACACCAUUGUGUCCUGGACUCGGAGUGUACCCUGAUAUCACAGCAAAUAAUAGGCCUGCAGUCUUCACCACCGACGCCUGCUGGUCAGCAAACAACCCGGAGCUACAGGGGGACCAGGAAUGCCCAUUAGAGGCAGGUGGCCUGGCAGACAUUGGCACCCAGGCAUGGCACCCAACCCCUCCCAGCUCAGACACAGCUCCAUUAUCCUUCUCAAAGAGUAGCCUCUACCCACCCUUUGAACAUUAGUUCCUGCACUUAUCUAGAUUCUCAGCCCAAGAAGGCAGAAGCUCCCAGCCUUUAGUGCACCCAAGGCUGCACUUACACUAACAACCUUGUCACGACUGGGAAGAGGGAGGAGAGAACAGAUAAGGAGGUUGCAGCUCCUCCUCUUCUCUAGGACAGUCAAUGAAUGUUCAUUCAUUCCAUCCGUGAUUUGAGUACCGACUACACAUAAGGGACUGUGUACUGGGUUUGAGCCGUGUAGUAACCAAGACAGGCACAGUUCCUCCCCAGAGAGGCAGGAGAGGCCGUCGUAAACCAAAGAUGAACAAAACAUUGUAAGUGUGAUUAAAAUAAUUACGUAACAAUAACAAAAGCAACCACAACAAUCAGGUCUGAGUACAUUCUGGCAGCUCUGGGGUUUAUAGACAGCCAGCGCGAGUCUUAAAGCAAAGCCCGGCCGGCCGAGAGUGACAGCAGCACCGCCAGGAGAAGGCAACAGAGCUACGGCCCAGUGCCCUUCAAAAAGCUGGUAUCAUCCCCACACCCAUAAACAGUGUGUGUGAGGAUGGCAAGGACCCUGUGUGCCAGGGGAAGCAAUUCCAAAUGGGAUAAACCUGCCAGUAAUUUCAGCGAAUGAGACGCAGAUCCUGGAAAGGCCAGAGGAUGGAAAACGCUCCAGUUUUGAUAAAAGGAGGUCUGCUCUGCCUCCAGUCCUCCCUCCUGCUGGUCAGGACGCGCACAGAGGAGCUGAUGAAUUGAGGGAGAAGAAACGAGGCCGAUGUGAGCCGCCUUUCAAGGGCUGUGCUGAUAUACAAGCCCAACAACCUGACACUGGUCCAAGAGGGGAUUAAAGCAACAUGCUGUUGUGAGUGAUUGCUUAAUUUAUUGAGUUGUGGCAAGAUCUGUAAUGAAACACAGCCCUUGCAACUGAUAACCUCCGGCUGCAAUUGAACUUGACAAUUAAGGAAUAUUUUCCAAGGAUUUUUCUGGAACAGCUUAGAAUUUUUUGUCUCUGUGGUGGGGUGCUUCUGAGCGCUCAUUUUGCCAGGCAAGCUUUUUUCUUUUCUUUUUUAGGAAUGAAAGGCUGAUGUUAAUAGGAAAUAAGCGUCACUUUAUUGACCGCCUCGUGCACACCAGGCACUUAUUAUACUUUAUCUCUAAUCCUGACAAUGGCCCAACGAAGGAACUCUUAUUCGUCCCUAUUUUACAGAUAUGAGGUUUCCCCAAGUGACAUUGUCCAAGUCUGGAGCUACUAGCCAUUGGUGGCUAUUUACGCCUAAAUUAAUUAAAAUUUUAAAAAUCAAAGAAAUUCACUUCCUAGGUUGCACUAGUAGCUAGCGCAGGUGCCCACUCCCCAGGUGUGGCUGGUGGGUACCACACUGGACAGCUCAGAUACGGACCAUUUCGAUGACUGUGGAAAGUUCUCGUGAACAGUGCUGUCCCAGAAUGCUCACAGGUAGAAGUCCAACCCCUUGCUUCAAAAUUCUCCCGUUACCCCUUGCUUCUUGCUUCUCUUCCUGGGGCUGAGAAGUAAGGACUGGAGCUGUGAGGCUAAACGCUGGCUGCACAUUCACGUUACCUGGGCUGCUUUAAAAAAUAUUGAUGAUAUGGCCCCAGCCCUGGAGAUUCUGACUUUACUGUGAUCGGGGGUGGGGGGGUGGGGAGGCGGGGAGACAGGCAUAAGGGGCUCUAUAAUUCCCCAUGUGUACAGCCAGGAUUGAGAGCAGCUAGGAGAGCGGGUCCACAUACAGUAAGGUGGGAAGAACUGGCUCAUCUCCCAGCAGAAUGGGGUCGCUGUGGACCCAGACGUGGGCUUCCCCCAGGCCUGCAUCUGAUAUGAGGUUUCUAGGUGUUCAGUAACUUUCAUCAGACGGCUCGGGGUCCUUCCUGCAGGCAGGGAAGACCUGAGUGCUUUCUCACACGCGUCCUGCUCAGUGGAGACACGGUGAGGAGCUCUGCUUUCAGGAACAGGCCCCGUCACGCCGCCACGGAAGGAAGGGGAUGGGCUGCGAGACCACAGGGACAAAGUGGGGUCUGCAGCCCCACCUUUGGAGUGGGAGCCUCGGGACGAGCCCAUGCUGUAAUCUGCCUGACAGAAUAAAAGUGUUUCCCAGCUCUGUCAACAGAGACAUUGCAAGGGAAGAAAAAGGGAGGGAGAGAGAACCUGCGGAUUGAGAGAGACGUAAGAGACACAUCAACCAAUCCCAAUGGAGGGAAAGGGUUAGAAAUACUGACCAAUCCCGUCACAGUGAGCACCGCCAGCACUCAGAUUAGGGUCUCUAUGCACCACCUCUGACGAGAAACCGGGGUUCUGUGCAGAGACAGCCGAUCCCCGGUCUGAGGCAGGACAUGUGCAAGGGGAGCCUGGAACGUCCUGUCACCAGGGAGCGUGGAAGCUCUGGAAGGCUCUGGAUCAUGCCCGAAAAGAUGAAGGGGGCAAUGUGAUAGGACAGCUGGCCAGAUGGGACAGUGGAGCAUCAAUAAGAACAGUAACUGCCCUGGACCGGAAUGUGUUAGAUAUGUCCAAUCUAAGAGUUCACAACGAUACCUAGAAAAAAAAGCAUAAACUCAUCUGUCAUCUUUGGGGGAUGUUGAGAAACCAACUCAUCAUGUUGAAAAUUGUUAAAUAAAAGGAAAGAGUCAAGUAUUUUUCCUUUCUGGUAUGAACCGUACCUUACAGUAACCAAAUAGCUGAUAAAGGAAGUGUCUUUUUAUGGAGGUAUUCCAGCUAACACACAAAUACAGAAGGAUAGGAUUUAUUUGCCACUAUUUUGCAACCUCUAAUGGGUCCAGACAGUGAUCAUCGAUGCUGCUAACAUUCUGUGCCUUCAAAUGGAAAUCCAACACAGCCACUAGGAAAUCAUCAUAAACACACACAUACACACACAAGCAUUAAUCUAAGUAGCUUCUAGAUCUAAUUACUGAUUUACAAGAAAUAUACAGGGGAGAGGAACAUGUAUAAUACCAAUAUGGUGAUGCAAUAGGCAAAGUCCAGACUGUAGGACACUCUACAAACAAAUCAACCCAGCUUCUCAACAAAGACACUGCAAGGGAAGAAAAAGGGAGGAAGAGAGAACCCGCAGAUGGAGAGAGACGUAAGAGACACAUCAACCAAUCCCAGUGGAUGGAACUUGUAUGGGUCCCAAUUUUAUCCAACUGUAAAGAAAACAUUUAUGAAACAACCAAAGAAUUUUGAACACUGAGUAGAUAUUUGCUGAUAUUAAAGUAUUACUGUUAGUUUUAGUAGGGGUUAUGAUGGGAUAAACCCCACUCCUCUUUUGGAGUCAUAUAUGAAAAUAUUUGCAAAAUAAAUGAUUUCUGUCUGGAUUUUGCUUCUAAAUAUCUGAGAUGAAAGAGGAGGAGAAUGGGUAUAGAUAAAACAAGACUGGCUGAGAGUUGGUGGUUGUUGAAGCUGGGAGAUGGGUAGUUGGGGUUCAUUGUACCACAUUGCUCUUGUGUAUGCUUAAAGUUUUUCAUAAUAAAAGUAAAUUUA